rnacentral:misc_RNA from 1 species
UUUCAGGGGAAAAUAAUUAAAAAAUAUACAAUUUUUUUAAAUAAUUUUUGUGAGAAAUUAUUAAUAAGUAAAUGUGGUUUUUAAAGAAAUUUUAAAUAUAAUUUUUUAUUAUUUCUUCCCUGCCAUGUCAGUAAUAAUAUAUAAUGGCCUUAUUGCAUUUGGUUGUUAACAAUCAUUAACAGGGCAAAAUAAAAGGUACUAGCUUGUCACAACAAAACACUAACUCUUGAUAUUGAUAAAGCACUAAAACCCCCUUUUUUUUGGAUGCUUUACCCUAUAUUAUAAGCAACAUGGUCCACUAUGUACUUUGUAUACAAAUAAGGUUAUCUUUACAGUAUCAAAG